CAGAUCGAGGCGGGUGACCCAGCCAGGCCUGUCUGUUCAGAUUCUGAUCGGCCUCUCUGUGCAGCAUUCCUUCCUCCCAGCUAUGGGCAGGACCCCUUCUGAAGUCGGGGUCUUAUGAUCUACUAUCAGAUGAGAUGGCAGUGUUGCUGGUUCACACACCCAGUAUCCUGUGAAAUAUGCUCUGUUUACUGAAUAAACAUCAAGAACUACUUACAAAGAAAUAGGCCCAAAGAUGACUGAGAGGAAUAAGAAAACCCAACGAUAUCCCUGCACAAAGAAAAAGGAAAGCUGCCAAGUUGAUAUUGAAAUGCAUGUGAGAAGGACUGGUCCCCAGAGACGACCCAGAGACCUCUUUAAAAAUGUUCUCUCAAAAGUAGGCCCAACAUGCCAGAUUAGACCCUGACUUCCUUCACAAGACUCCUAAAGUGCAAGAAAUAAAAUCAAGAAUUAAUCAAUGGGAUGGACUCCAACUAAAAAGCUUCUUCUCAGCAAAAGAAACAAUCAACAAGGUGAAGAGAGAACAUACAGAAUGGGAGCAAAUUGUUGCCACACACAUGUCAGAUGGAUCACUAAUCUCCAGGAUAUAUAAAGAACUCAAAAAACUUAACAUAAAAAAGACCCAAUCAAUAAAUGGGCUCAGGAGCUGAGCAGAUACUUCUCAGAAAAAGAUAUACAAUCGAUCAACAAAUAUAUGAUAAAAGGUUCAACAUGUCGAGUAAUUAGAGAAGUUCAAGUCAAAACUACUCUAAGAUUUCAUCUCACACCAGUCAGUAUGGCAAUUAUCAAGAAUAUAAGCAAUAAUAAGUAUUGGUGAGGAUGUGGGGAAAGGGCACACUCAUACAUUGCUGGUGGGACUGCAAAUUGGUGCAACCAAUCUGGAAAGCAGUAUGGAGAUUCCUUAGAAAACUUAGAAUGGAACCACCAUUUGACCCAGCUAUCCCACUCCUCAGUCUAUAUCCAAAGGGCUUAAAAACAACAUACUACAGAGACACAGCCACAUCAAUGUUUAUAGCAGCUCUUUUCACCAUAGCUAAACUGUGGAAGCAACCUAGAUGCCCUUCAAUAGAUGAAUGGAUAAAGAAUCUGUGGUAUGUAUAUACAAUGGAAUAUUCUUCAGCAUUAAAACAGAAUAAAAUAUGGCAUUUGAAGGUAAAUGGAUGGAGUUGGAGAAUAUCAUGCUGAGCAAAGUCAACCAACCCCCAAAAUCCAAAGGCUGAAUGUUCUCUCAGCAUCAGGGGAUGCUGAUCCAAAACAGGGUGAGAGGGGGG